rnacentral:rRNA from 1 species
AUGCUUUUAUAAACGCUUCAGUUUUAGAAUGUCAUCCGCGUAUAACGCAAUAAAUACAACUUUCAGCAACGGAUCUCUUGGCUCUCGCAUCGAUGAAGAACGCAGCGAAAUGCGAUAAGUAAUGUGAAUUGCAGAAUUCAGUGAAUCAUCGAAUCUU